GUCUAGAAAAGAUAAACAUUCAUCAGCAUAAUCCGACAAUAAUAACUCAUCAAACAAUAAAGAUUGGUGUGUCUCUCAUGAUUACUAUCUACCAUCGGCAACUUAAUAUUAAAAUCGAAUUGGUAAACUACUGAGCCAAAUGUUAGUUUCUGUGUUAAUAUAUCCCAGAAUACUAAAGUUAUCUUGUAACAUGCGUACUGUGUCAGUAUAUCCCAGCAUAAUAAAGUUAUCUUGUAACAUGUGUUCUGUGUCAUCUUCUCUAACUUUAUCUAACCUGAAUUCACAUUAGCUUGCCCGGAAUAUGAGGCUAUGAAUUAUACCAAUGACAUAACUUUACUCACUUUGGUUCAUGUGUGGAUCAUCGGUCCACUGUCAAAACAGUUCUUACUGCAAUAGAUCCCUCUGGUCCUUUGAACACUCACAUCAAGUUAUUCCUCUUCAACUGAAGGCUUCUCAUUCUGAAGAAGACCAACUCCCUGUACAUUCCCAAUGUCUGAACUCUGAUCCCAGGUUCAUAAUAAAAAGAUAUGAAUACUGUC